AUUUUGAUUGGCGAUAUCAAAGUCCAGUCAGCUCUAAAGUCGCCCCGAGAUUUCGGGGCGUUUUUAUAUCUGGCGACAAGGUUGUACUACUAUUCUGGGCUCUAUGCCCUUUUUUU
rfam:Rheinheimera sp. A13L DRAFT__contig00006, whole genome shotgun sequence.